rnacentral:lncRNA from 1 species
GUUGCACAACUAAAGAAAAACAUGUGAUCUGCUAUUUCUGGCAUCCUGAUUCUAUGUGGAUGCAGAUUAAGCCAAGGAACCGAGAAGGGCUGAGCCUGCAAACUGAAGGCCCCUCAGUUCUACGCCUGAGCAAGUCUUUCUUCACCGUCUGCAUGAAAAGGCCAUCUUUGAAUAGAAAAGACAGGCAGUGUGACAUAGAAAGCGCACGGCUUCAGAAGUCAGACAAACCUGGCCAUUUGACUGUGGGGUAAGUUCUUAAAGCUCUUUUAGCCUUAGUGCCCUUACCUGAAAAAAAUGGAAUAAUGUCCAACCUUAAAGUUAUUCUCAUGAUUUGAAAAGAUAAAAGUUGAUCAUUCACUCAGCAAAUAUCCGCCAACAGCUUUAU